AUAUCGGUUGCGUAGUAGUUAGCGCACGAGCCUCGGUUAGGAGCGAGAUGUGGGUUCGAAUCCCGUCUGAGAUG
rnacentral:tRNA from 1 species